GGCGGAGGAUGCAAGUGUUAUCCGGAAUCACUGGGCGUAAAGCGUCUGUAAGUGGUCAAAUAAGUCAACUGUUAAAUCUUGAGGCUCAACCUCAAAAUCGCAGUCGAAACUAUUAGACUAGAGUAUAGUAGGGGUAAAGGGAAUUUCCAGUGGAGCGGUGAAAUGCGUAGAGAUUGGAAAGAACACCGAUGGCGAAGGCACUUUACUGGGCUAUUGCUAACACUGAGAGACGAAAGCUAGGGUAGCAAAUGUG
rnacentral:rRNA from 1 species